rnacentral:sRNA from 1 species
AGCCAGCGGCUCUGAGCCAGCUGGGCAGCCACGGUGAGGCUGGAGUUCUGCAGCGGGAGGCGCAGUGGCAGCUGGGAGCGGCUGCUCACCCGGCCUCUGCCCCCAGAGCAGCUCGUGCUGGGUGCCUCACAGGAGCCGGUGGGCCGCUGGGACCGGGACUAUGACAGGGCCGUGCUGCCACUGCUGGACGCCCAGCAGCCCUGCUACCUGCUGUACCGCCUCGACUCACAGAAUGCUCAGGGCUUCGAAUGGCUCUUCCUCGCCUGGUCGCCUGAUAACUCCCCCGUGCGGCUGAAGAUGCUGUACGCGGCCACACGGGCCACAGUGAAAAAGGAGUUUGGAGGUGGCCACAUCAAGGAUGAGCUCUUCGGGACUGUGAAGGAUGACCUCUCUUUUGCUGGGUACCAGAAACACCUGUCAUCCUGUGCAGCACCUGCCCCGCUGACCUCGGCCGAGAGAGAGCUCCAGCAGAUCCGCAUUAACGAGGUGAAGACAGAGAUCAGUGUGGAAAGCAAGCACCAGACCCUGCAGGGCCUCGCCUUCCCCCUGCAGCCUGAGGCCCAGCGGGCACUCCAGCAGCUCAA